rnacentral:ncRNA from 1 species
UAUUGUUCUGAUCAUCUCAGAUCAGCUAUUAGGAAAGGAAGAUCAGCCAAGUCCUUUGGACCUGAUCAGAUUAAUACAGGAGCUACUGAUUUCAACGUCUUUGGCCUGACUCUCUCUGAAAUGAUGAAAUACACAAGUUAUUUCUUGGCUUUUCAGCUCUGCAUCAUU